rnacentral:rRNA from 1 species
GACGAACGCUGGCGGCGUGCCUAAUACAUGCAAGUUGAGCGCUGAAGGUUGGUACUUGUACCAACUGGAUGAGCAGCGAACGGGUGAGUAACGCGUGGGGAAUCUGCCUUUGAGCGGGGGACAACAUUUGGAAACGAAUGCUAAUACCGCAUAAAAACUUUAAACACAAGUUUUAAGUUUGAAAGAUGCAAUUGCAUCACUCAAAGAUGAUCCCGCGUUGUAUUAGCUAGUUCGUGAGGUAAAGGCUCACCAAGGCGAUGAUACAUAGCCGACCUGAGAGGGUGAUCGGCCACAUUGGGACUGAGACACGGCCCAAACUCCUACGGGAGGCAGCAGUAGGGAAUCUUCGGCAAUGGACGAAAGUCUGACCGAGCAACGCCGCGUGAGUGAAGAAGGUUUUCGGAUCGUAAAACUCUGUUGGUAGAGAAGAACGUUGGUGAGAGUGGAAAGCUCAUCAAGUGACGGUAACUACCCAGAAAGGGACGGCUAACUACGUG